UACGGGGGGAGCAAGCGUUGUUCGGAUUUACUGGGCGUAAAGGGCGCGUAGGCGGUCGUGACAAGUCACUUGUGAAAUCUCCGGGCUUAACUCGGAACGGUCAAGUGAUACUGUCGGACUAGAGUACAGAAGGGGCAACUGGAAUUCUCGGUGUAGCGGUGAAAUGCGUAGAUAUCGAGAGGAACACCUGCGGCGAAGGCGGCAUCCUGGACUGGUCCUGACACUCAUGAGCGAAAGCGUGGGGAGCGAUCCGG
rnacentral:rRNA from 1 species